UAAUAGAGCUGUAACUCAAGCCUUUGUCUUCUGGACACCAAGUUCAAGAGUGUUUCCAUCACAUUAAGCCUGGCUUCCCUAGGGGGGGGUGGCGGGGAGUGGCCUGGCGCGCGCCACAGGGGCGAGAUCGCCGACCGCCGGGGCUCGCCUCCCAGGGAGCGCGCUGAGCCAGUGCGGGGUCCCGGCGCUG